UGGAGAGAAGACCAUGCAGGAAGAAGGUAGCGCCCUGGAGCCCCGGGCUGCUGUGGAAUCCUGAAACUGGAGAUGUCUCUGUGAUGCUCACAGCCUGUAUUCUUUGAGGAAGGAUUCUGCUCCCCAUCCCAGUGUUGGCGGUCAAACACCGGACUUCACAAUCCUGGGGAAGGAUGUUCAGGAAAACAGGAUGCCCAAGGGCUAGCACGAUGGCCCAGUCGUAACCUAGAGAUGCCUGCAGCAGGACCUUAUUAUGCCUUGAUUUCCAUCCGUGGAGACCAACAGGGUGGAAGAAGAGAAACACCUCCCAGAAGUCAUCCUCUGGCCUCCACAUGUGCACCACGGCACAUGUGCACUCAACGUAAACACACACACAAAUAAUAAAUAAACUUUAAUAACAGUAACUACAAAAAUGGGACAAAAUAAAACAAAACCCAACAGACACUCAAAUUCCCAUCAUCAGGAGCUGGCAAAACUACUCAACAGAUCAAGUGUCUGCUGUGCAAACAGGGGCCAGAUUCAAUCCUUAGCACCAGGCACAAGGUCGGGAGUGAGGUGUGUGCCCGCAGUGCCAGCGCUGGGAGGGCAGGAGCGAGGAUCCCUGGCUCUUGCUGACCGGCCACCCUGGCUGAAUCAUUGAGCUCCAGAUUCAAUGAGAGACUGGUCUCAAAACAUAGUGGAGAGCCAUGGAAGAGGA